GACAGAGGGUGCAAACGUUGUUCGGAUUUACUGGGCGUAAAGCGCGUGUAGGCGGCUUUGCAAGUCGGGUGUGAAAGCCCUCAGCUCAACUGAGGAAGUGCGCCCGAAACUGCAGAGCUUGAGUGCCGGAGAGGGUGGCGGAAUUCCCCAAGUAGAGGUGAAAUUCGUAGAUAUGGGGAGGAACACCGGUGGCGAAGGCGGCCACCUGGACGGCAACUGACGCUGAGACGCGAAAGCGUGGGUAGCAAACAGG
rnacentral:rRNA from 1 species